GAUGAACGCUGGCGGCGUGCUUAACACAUGCAAGUCGAACGGAGAAAGGGUAGCUUGCUAUCUUUUCUUAGUGGCGGACGGGUGAGUAACGCGUGGGUAACCUGCCCUUUGCAGGGGGAUAACAGUGAGAAAUCGCUGCUAAUACCGCAUACCAACUUCUUUCGCAUGAAGGAAGUUUGAAAGAUUUAUCGGCAAAGGAUGGACCCGCGUUGGAUUAGCUAGUUGGUGAGAUAACAGCCCACCAAGGCAACGAUCCAUAGCCGGCCUGAGAGGGUGAACGGCCACACUGGGACUGAGACACGGCCCAGACUCCUACGGGAGGCAGCAGUGGGGAAUAUUGCACAAUGGGCGAAAGCCUGAUGCAGCGACGCCGCGUGAAGGAUGAAGGUCUUCGGAUUGUAAACUUCUAUCAGCAGGGAAGAAAGGGCUUAUAGCCUAUGACGGUACCUGACUAAGAAGCCCCGGCUAACUACGUGCCAGCAGCCGCGGUAAAGACGAG
rnacentral:rRNA from 1 species